GCUACUCUCUUGUUCGUCGGGUGCCUUGCUGUGGUGGGACAAUGUAAGCAUAACACCGUCUUAUCAUUAUUUUACAUACAUACAUACAUUGAUGCCUUCAAAUCUACAAUUGUUGUAGAGGCAUAUGUACUGGCCGUACAUUGUUGUGUUCUAACAUGCAUAUUGCCGAUGUGAUGGGUCGUCUUGUGGCUACAAGAAGCAACCAAGAACAUCCUCAUGCCAACAUAACGGCAAACGCUACCGCCGUGGAUUCAUCGCUGAAUGAAAGCAAAAUCACGUUGAAGUGGUGUGUGAGGAGGGACUGCGAUCAUCCAAAGGACCCGUUCGUCUGGAAAAACUGUUACUGCUGUGUCACGCAGCCGGGCAGUCCGUGUUGGCGUCAUGUGAAUGAAUGUCAAGCAAAUUGCCCAUCGUGUCAUCCUGAUUGCCCGCCUGCAUCAGCAAUCGAGCUACACGCAUAAAUGAAUGUAUGCGUACUUGCGUCGUUAGUAAUUUUAUAAAGCUGGCCCGGGAAAGUCUUCAUCAAAUAAAGUACGUAGUGUGCUGCUCAUGACCUCAUUCAUGUACGCAACAUAUAUUUCACUCUAGUCUAUCUAUCUGUAUAUAUAUUUCAGGUUUGCAUCAUAUCACACAGUAGACCGAAUAUAUGCAACUUGUUUGCGGACAGUAUAUUAUUUGCUUUGUCGCCGGAUGUACGAAAACAAGGUGGUCAUGGAGAAUGAUCCAUGAAAAGUACUCCUAUAGUAUUAUUUUUGAACUGCGAUCCAUGGAAAG
rnacentral:lncRNA from 1 species